rfam:Felis catus isolate Cinnamon breed Abyssinian chromosome D2, whole genome shotgun sequence.
GCCUGUGUGGCUCAGUCGUUUGAGUGACGGACUCUUGAUCAGGUCACGAUCCCGGUGGUGGGAUCGAGUCCCACAUCAGGCU